rnacentral:lncRNA from 1 species
GUCAUUUUGUUGGCUCUGGUACUAUCUGGCUGGAAGAAGCGAAAUAAAAUUUUUUCGUAUAUAAGCUACUGCUGAUAUGGCCAGCAGGGCAAACGCCAACGGGAGGGUCGUAAUAGAUAUUCCCGUUUGAAAAAUGUUGUUCUUUUUCGUCUCGGUGGUUGUGUUUUUUUUUUCUUCACGAUGAUCAAGUCGAGGUCGAUUAGUGAAAACGCCAAAGGAAGAAACUUUACACACAUAUAAUUGGCAUUCAUUUGAUGUGGGCUAGUAGGUUGCAUGAGCUGUGAUUAAGUUCAAGACUUUUUUUUCUUUUUUUCUUUUUCCUUCGGGAAAAUGAGGAGGUGGCUGGAAAACGAGGGGAACGUGCGGGUCAAAUGUCAGGAUUUUUGUGUAUACACAUUCACACGAGUGUAUGUGAAGUGGGUGGGUUUCUGUGUGUGUGUGUACAUUAUAAGAGUUUUGGUAUACAGCAAAGAGAGAGAAAUAACCUCUGGUCAGAAAUCCGAAGGCGCAGAUGAUGAGGAGGUCUGCUCGAAAAAAUGUUGUUUUCAUCUUCUCUCUCCCGCGGUUCAAAUGAUUUCUGCAGACAUGGCCGAGAAAAGGGCGUGUGUGUAACAUUACAACUAUCCACUGCAUUAUUUUAUAUUAUAUGUGCUGCUGCUGUUACUGCUGCUGCCCUGUGGACACUGGGAUUAGACAUUAUUGCCGGGACUGGAUUUUAUUUCUUCCUUUUGUCCCGAAAUCGGCAAGCGCCAGGCAUCCAAUUGUAUACAAGAGGAGCUCGGCGUUGUGUGAAUGACCGACGAGAGAGCGUCCAAUUGGAAAAUAAAAGAAAAGAAACGUCGUCGUCGCGUGACGUCACGGCGCGCGGAAGUCGUGCGCGCUCUGCACGCAAUCCAAUUUGUCGACGCUGCUGUACUGUGUGUUGACUGAAAGGGACGACUUUUAGUUCGGCAAAUGAGAACGCCGGGAUAGUCCAAAUAUCUAAUGCGCUUCUAAAAAUAGAAUUUAAAAUAAAAAGAAAGAAAAAAGAGAUUCACGCAUGUGUUUUCUCCUUUUUUAUUUUUUCGCUCCUAUUGUAUUUGGAAACCAGUAAAGUGUUAUUGAAGGAAAAAUGAACUACAAAAGGAAAAAAUAGAAGAAGAACAACAUUACACAAUAAGUAUGUCGUCGUCGCUAAAGGCCUAAUUCCCCCCUUCGGUUGUAGAUCAUCUCAUUAUACACUUGCUUUUUUUGUGUCUACUUCUCCAGGUGGAUCAUUAUAGAUAUUACGGAUGCUAUAAUAAUAUACUUUUUUUUAUUUUUUAAAUUUUUACUACUACUACUAGUAACUCUGCCGGGUAUAUAGUAUAGUAGCGAAUUGGUUGUGUUGCAUAUAACGAAAGAAAAGAAAAAAGUGUGCCAUCAUCCUAACUAACCUACACCAGGAGGAGAGCAUUGGCUUUUUUGGGUUGUAUGGAGGCUAAUGGUUGGCGGCCCGAUGAGUCCUGCGCGCUUCUUUUUCUUUUCUAGGUCGUUGACGUCCUAUACUGUCAGCCUCUUCCAAGUAGAACAACUCGAGAAAAAUAGGGAAAAAUAAAAAUAAACAUUUUUAUAUAACUACUGCUAUUAUUGUGGAUUGCCUUUUUAUUUUUAGAUGGUUUGGGCGUUGGCUCCUCCCUCUACAUAGAGUUGAACGGCACAUAUAUACCACCCUCUACAUUGUUACAAGAGAAUCUAAUAAUAUCUAGGCAUUUAAAUGAUCGAUGGGCUUUGCUGGUGCAGCGUCACUUGUAGGGCCUCUGGAUGAAACUCGUAACACAAACCCGUUCCUUUAUUCUUUGUUCCCCUUUUGGCGAAAAACUUGACGGAUUCCGUAAUGAAAUUUUUGUUGCCUCUAUAUCCCCCGAGUGCUUCGUUUAAUAUGCAAAUCAAUGGAGACUAGAUACACACGAACUGAGAAGAGCUACUAUAUAACGACCGGCUGCAAAGGUCAGCCAACUUUUGAAUUCAAUUUAGACGGUUCUCUGACUUGAUGGAAUAAAUACAAAACCAAUAAGAAGAGAGAUUGGAGUUUAAACACGAUUUUAUUUGACUUUUUUUGCGUAUUUUGUUGGUUUUACAAUGAAUUUUUUUUUUGUUUAUUUGUACAGACACAAAAUGAUUUUUUUUUCUUCUUCGCAGCUGACUCGAUGAUGACCUACUGUUGUGUAAUAAAUUGGAAGAUUAUAGAAAAGAGAAUAAUGGAUCGACAAGUCAAGAAAAAAAAAAAAAGAUUGUUUGGGAGAGAGAGAGAGAGAAUUAUUUUUCGGUUCCUUCAGUCGGGCAUCAGCGCAAAGGUUUACACAUUUAAAAAUGGAUAUGACACCUGAGGAUUUCUUCUUUUUUUUUUUUUUCUUUUUUCUUUCAGUCAUUUCUUCUGUUUCGAUAUAGGAAUUAGCUUCACGUCUAUUCCACCAAAAAAACACAAAAUGAGGAGGGUUUAAAAAAAAAGUCUAAAUGGAUCAUAACAUCCAUUUCGCGGUGUGUGUCUAAAAAUCAUCGCCGUCCUUUUCUCUCUUUCUUGGAUGGAAGAACAUUUGGUUUUACAAGUCGGAUGAAACGUUUACAACAGGUGGGGGAGGGUGGCCGACGACAUUUGUCAAUAUCCUCAUCUACAACAUGUGAAUUCUCACUACGAAUAAUAAGCCAAAGAAAGAAGGAAAGAAGAUGACAAACGCACACACUUUUGUUUUUUGCCUUGACCCCAUAAUGACGUUGAUUACAAUUAAAAAGGGAGAAUAAUAAUAAUAAUAUGUAUAUAAUAAUAUGUAUAAGAAAUUGUAUGUAUAGAAAAUAACCCCCACGAACCAGAGCGCAUAAUGAUUUUUUGGAAGGAAGGAAGUAAACGAAAAUAAUAAUAAUAAUAAACCACACCAAAAAGGGAAGUUGUUGUAAAAAAAAAAGCCUUCUUCUAGUCUUAUUUGUUGUUGUCUGAAUUCUAGUACAAUAAAUCUAGGAAGAAAGGGAGUACAGGGAUUUUGCAUCUUGGAAGAUAUUAUAUAAAUCACGUCCAUUCAAACAAUACCAAGGGGGAAAUUGGGGGGGGGGGGGAGCUGUAAUUAGAAUAUCAUAAGACGAAAUAUAUUCGAUAAUGAUGCAGCAAGAGAAAACUGGGAUGGGACCACAAAAGAAUUAAAGAAAGGGAGGAAAGAAAUUUUUGGAGGAAAAUAAUAAAAAUAAUAAAAAAAAAUUGGGAUACAAGGAUAACGUUUGAUAUUAUAUCACAUUGAUUUGACCACAAUAGCCGGAAAAGGAAGAAAAAAGUAGGGGGGUUUGGUGGUGGGGGGUAGAAAGAUGUAAUGCAAUUUUUCCCGCUUCUUUUUCAAAAAAAAAAAAAAAAACUGAAUUGGCGUGUGUUUGUCGGCGCAUGUAUAACUGGAAUCGAUUCAUUCAAAAAAUUAAUAAGAUCCGAACCGUUUUCUUUUUUUUUUUUUUAAAUUCAUACGCGGAAAAAAAAGGACAAUUUGUUUUUUCAACUUCGUUCACGUCAGGUGCUUUCUUCUUGGCAUCAAGAGAUCGACUCCAGAAUUAAUUAAAGAGAGAUUUUACAAAAAAAUUAAGGUGGGCCAAAAAACAAAUUAACGAAAAAUCAACAAAAAAAGUGUGUGGAUUUUGGUUUUUUCCAAUCAAAUUUUGUUUUUCCAAGUCAGGUAAAUGGGUGUGUAGAUCAGGUGAGCCAGCUCUUAACAAGUACAAUCAAAACAUCGAAAUAGAAGAGAAACGUUUUUAUCCCAGUUUUUUUGUUUUUUGUGUGUAAACUCGAUGAUUUCGUUCUACCCAGGGAAGAAAACAAGCGACUGAAAAUCGACUUCUUUUGUUUUCGAAAUUGCGUUGGGUUGUUUGUUUGUUUUUUGUGUGUGUAUGUAUGUGUGUGUGUGGUUGGGCGUAUCACAGACGAGCAAAGGCUUCAAUUUCCAAAUGAAAGAAGAAGAAGAAAACAAAAAAAGAAAUUUUUCUUCGUGUGUUUUUCCCGCAGUUUCUUUUUUAAAAAGUUUUUUUUCGGAGGGUUGGAGAAAAUGUCUCGAAUGGAGUUUGACGGAGUAGAAAAAACAAUUUGGUGGACGUCGAAAUCGCAAAAAAAAAGGAAAAGGGCUGCGUAUGUGUUGCGUGGCGGAGGGGAACAAGGAAAUUUUGGCCGAAAAAUCACGUGACGUGAACGCGCGCGUUUCCAUUGAAAAAGAAAAUAAUUGACAAAAAUAAAGAAAAAAACUAGAUUUUUCCAUUUAAAAACGGGUUUACAUUUGUUUUUGUUGCUAUCGAUUCGGAUCUGAUAUAUAUCACGUCGGCCAUAUUUGAUUGUUAUCCGAGAAAUAAUAAUAAAAAAAUAGAUUAAUAAUAAAUCACAUAGCAAAUUGUAUACUGAGGGGGGGAAGAGAGAGUGAAAGAAGAGCGGGAGAAACGGACAACACAAAAACGGCAACUAUUUUCUGAUAGACGGAGAUGGGGG